UAAGGCACGUUUUUGUGCACCUGCAGGCUGAGCACCGGGAGAGUAGGAAAUUGGAAAUAAAAGCUCCCGCAUUGCUGCGGAGUGAGCGCAUUUCUUUAGGAAUCUAAUUAUAUCUGUCCCGGGAUGAUUUAUAUUAGCGGGGCAAUGAGUUCGGUACGGGGCGCACCUGCUCCCGGCACCCACCCAGCCGCCCCUCUUACCGAAGCGGCUGUGGUCCUGCCGGGUGCCGUGCACCGUGCCGUUGGGGAAGAUCUCCAGGUGGAAGCCGGUGCGGCAGUAGAGCUGCCGCCGCCGCAGGAUGCCCUUGAGGCCCGGGCAGUGCUUUGUUGUGAAGAUAGGAAGGGAAUUGUGAUAUGACGACAUGGAACACCCACACAUGUGUCUGCAGAAGAACUACUUAAGGAGUCCAUCCAAAAUCCUGCUCCUGAGGAAGAGACUGGUUGGUGCUUACAGAAAAUGUGAAAGAACCCAUCUGACCUGCAAGUAUGGCACUUCUUUUUCACAAAGUGAUCACACCUGAAACCAAACACUGAAAGGAUGCCAGCUAACAUGGAACUGCUUCAAGAACUCUGACAACCCCACUGCUUGCUAGAUGUAUAUGAACAGGUGUUUGCUGCUGUAAAAUGAAGAUGGAACUGGGUUCUGUUGUGUCUGCUCUGCUCCAAGUAAAAAGAAUCAUUCUGGUUCAAAAAGACCUUUAAGAUGAUUGAGUCCAACCAUUAACCUGGCACUGCCAAGUCAACUUCUAAACCAUGUCCCUAAGAACCUCAUCUCUGUGUCUUCUAAACAGCUCCAGGAACGGUGGCUCCACCACAACAGGCCUGCAUCUACAGUCUCACAACGUCUCAAUCCUGAUGAUGUUAAAUGUUCGGAGCAAAACUCAGACAAUUUCACUUUUGCUAUGAGGACAUGAUGGGCUAUUUUCUGUUUUUACCAGAAGCUUGUUGGAGUGCAUCUUGAAAGUCAUCUGAGAGCUUCCGCAAUACUGGAAGGCUGGUGGACGUGUUGCACAAAGGCCAUUUCCAGAGCUUUCUGCCAGAUGAACUUCCUCCGCGUGCCAAAGGUGCCUGCAGUGUAUGAAGAGCAGCUCGUUCCUGGGUGAUCUAGAGAAUAACCACGUUUGUACAAGAGGCUGAUCUUGGGCAACGCCUCAGCGAUCACAGCAGCCAUCAGCCAGGUCACACUUCCAGCGGCCCUUUGCCACAAGGAUGUAAUGCAUCUGCAAACUGGCGGUGGAGGCAGCUGCCCCACAGCUCAGUCCUGUGGUGGUGGGGAGCCCAGGCCCUGGGGGGUUUUCCUUCCUCCCCUCCCCUGCAGCAACAGGGCCAGGCUGAGGAAUGGAUAGGGGGAGCUCCCUGCAUCCCCCUUUCCUUCCCCCAGUGGCCUUAAAGGGCAGGUUCCUGCUCCGCCUGCACCCAUUGCCUCCCAGCAGCUCUUCCUGUCCCUCAGCUGCCAGGGGAUGAAAACAACAACAGGUGUAAAAUUAACGUCAUCUCCUUUUUUUUUUUUUCCAGCUUUGCUGCCCCAUCCUUCUCUCCCUUUCAGCUUCCAAGGGAUUGGGCUGCUGUGCCAGAGCUGACAGCUUUAGCUUUGGGGACCUUGUACCACGUUCCCACAUUCAAAGGUUCAAACCUAAUAAUGAAGACACAGGUUCUGCUGUGAGGAGCUGGAUGUUGACUUUAUGAAACUUACUGAUGAAGAAAGUACUAACACCUGAGGAGAAUGAGUGCCAAAGAAAAACCUCCUGCGUACUUCAGCUGUGGCUUCUACAAAGAUAAGAUGCAAACCCUCAUCAGAACUGAAAAAGUAAAGAGCUUAUCUAGAAUAUUUCAGUGAAAGAACCAUAAUUUCUGCAACUAACUGAGCAGUUUUGUUUGUUUGUUUACACUAUGUGGAAGAGUGAAAUGCAUUACUCAUAGUUGUCAUCCAGUAAGCUUUACACAGAUUCCUUGAAAAUGCAAGAGUUUUCUCAUGUGACUGAUUUAUAUUAUUGUUCAUGUUCCAUAAUUUCCAGUGGGUUACAUACAACUCGCUAAAUGGGUGGAUGUGCUUUCACUGUUCACAUAAAAUGGAGUAUUCUUCAGUGGGACUCUGAUAAACGAAAGGGAGAAAAAAUUCAGUAUGGUAACUGCAUCCAAUUGUAUUAUUUUGGCUUAGCACGGUUGCAAGUAUAAAUCUAUUAAAAAGAACCAGGCAAAAAGAUACUUAUAUACAACAUUUUUAAAAGGCAUAGUCACUUGCUUGUGUUAAAAGCUGCUAAUCUAUAGGCCUGGAAAUACUUAGAACUUUCAUAUUUUUGAACGGUCGACUAACUAAAAAAAAAAUAAAAGUGGUGAAAGGAAAUCUUCUUGCUGAAGAAAUGUAAAAGUAACAUACUUGGCAGGCUGCUUUGGGUGAUGUCAUCCUGCAGACUGUACUGAAGCCUGUUAGUUUGCAGCAGGAACAGAUUUCUCAAGGUAGGCCGAGUCUAUGGGCACUUAGUGUUGCUCUCAACUUCAGCCAGCCAAGAUCUGUGCUUUUUACACCUCGUUUGAUGGUAACAAACCACACACACUUUUAAAUGUGGGACUCAAAGGCUUCUUUCUUAUUUAUACACACAUAUAUGUAUUGGUAUAUGUUUGAAAUCUUUUGUGUGGGUUUAUCUCUUGGCUAAAGAUAAUGCUCGUUGCUAGUGCAGAAUAUUUGUUGUCCUGGGUUCUGGCUGAUGAGGACACUAAAAUUAAAGUUGCCUUUGGGAAGGCAGGGAGACCCUUCUCCCCACCCCCCGCCCCCACCCCUGCCAGUUUCUUGUGAGGUACCAGUUCCUUGCUUUCUCUCCCCAGAUACUUGCUGAUAGUCAGUAGAAUAUGGGAGUAUCCACAGUCUGGUGUACAUUUGCUUUGCCAUGAGUGAAAUAGGUCUCAGCUCUGAACUGCACUAACUUGAGUGCAAACCUUUGGCAAAUUGCAAAGAGCCUUACUAUAUUUAAAGCAUUGAGUAGCAAAAGGAUUAGGUUCUCUUGAAAUGAUCUAAGAGAGAGCAUGAAUCAGGUGGUCUUUGGAGGGUUUAAGGAUUGUCCUGUUAAGGGCCGAUAAAUGUAGUUCACUCAUGUGCUAAGGUAAGGGAGGGUUUGUAUUUUAUAUGUUUUAUGUGACUGUUAUGAUCCCAUCUGCUCUAUCCCAUUGACAUGGAACACUCAGCCUCGCUGUGUAGCACAGGUACUUUAAAAUGAAAUUGUAAAGAGUACAGAUAGUAACAGAGAUUACUCAGGGCCUGAUUCUGGAGAAACUUUGUGGACAGCUAAUAGAAUAACGUGCCACUUGGGAUAAAUUACACUGGACUUACGAUGAUUGCAUCUGAAAGAAAAAAUACUGACUACCUUUCAUUUACAUUCUUUUGCUCUUGCAUUUUACUACUAGUGAGAACUACCACUGCAAUAGUCCAAGUUAAUUUUUUGUUUCAAGAUGUUAUCCCCUUUUGUGGUGAUGUACAGCAAGGAUGACGAGGUGCUGUCACCAUCAGUUGCUCUUGGCUCAAAUGCAGAGGUCUGUGUGCUGGGUGUAAAGGCUGUAACUGAUGAUGAAUCCUACAGGAUGAUGAUGAAUCCUACAGGAAAGACACCACAUGGUAGACUUGCUGUUUUUUUCAAAACAUAACAUUGAAAAUACUGAAGUUGCAAAUUAGGCCAUAUAAAAGUAAUAGAAUGCUAAACAAAGGAUUUUCCCAUCCUCUUAUACAUACAUGUGCUUUUUGGCACGCAUGCAUCCAAUCUACUUUUUUCUUUUUCAGCAGUGACAGAUGCUCGUUAGGGUGCCCAUGAUGGAUCUGCUUUGAGGAGGAGACUUUGCAGAUAUUUCAGAGCUUGGUAUGAUCCUUGCCUCCCUUUUUGCAGCUGUUAGAAUUGAUGGAUAGGGCUGAGAACAGGGAUCUUGGUAUCACAGAUGAACAAGGAUUUUGGUAUUGUAGAUGAACACUGUCCUGGAGAAAUUAACUCUCUGCUGCUGCCUGCCAUCAUGAUGCUCUGUGCCGCGAGGUGAGGUGUGUAAACCACAUCAUUGGGGCUCACGGAAUUUGAGUGGUGGUGGCUUUCUAGGGGUGUGAUUCAAAGCGCUUGUGUACAUGUGCUAAGAAAGGUGUACGGGUCUGAGCAAAGCAAAUAAACAGAAGCUGGUUUCUGGAAAAGAUGGUCCUGGGCCUCUUGAAUCAGUCCAUUAAAACUGCUGAACAUGUUUGACCUUCUAUGCUUCAGUGUCCUGUCUGAAAGUACCACUCGUUUGACUGAAUUAGGGUAUAUGAAGCACACAUGGUGGAAAGCGUAGGCAACACUUCUGUAAUGGUGAAAAGCGUAUCAGUACGUUGAUUUUUUUUCCUGAGGAAAUACUGCAGACAGAUUAGGGUCGAGGAAAUAUAUGGCAAGACUUGCACAAUGGAGAUAAGACAAAAAUUUGAAUACUUGUUCUUCACAUCCCCCAUUUGAGCCCUGAAUAAAGAAUAGUUCUCAAACAAUUCUAAAUAACAUUUAAUAAUGUCUAUAAAUGCAGAAAUGAUUUGGCAACGGUGAAAGUUUCAGGCUUCAUAAAAUAGAGUGCAAAAUUUUGUCUGCUUCUGUUUCAAAGUAGUUAUCAACACUCUUUGUCGGUACCAUGAGACAUUUGAUACACGAUAUACUUGUUAGGUGCUGUAGGUCUCAUUUAUUAAGAGAAAAGUAACUACACAUAAGGUCAGUUCGCAGUGUCACUGCAGUACUCCUUGACUAUUAAACCAGAGGAGAAGUCUGGAGCUUUGCGAGUGGUGUUGUUCAGAUACCUACACUUUAAAAUUUAAUUAAUUUUAGCAUGUCUGAAUUAAGAGAAUGUGAAAGCAUUAUUUAUUUUAUGACUACUGCACCUUCCUGUUAAAAAAAUAAAUCCGUGUAUAUGUGAAAUCUAAAAGGCUUAGUACCUAAUUGCAAAAUGUAAGCCGUAAGUAUAAUGGAGACUUCUGUAAUUAUAUAAUCUAUUUCUUUUCAUGUGCGUAUGGUUGUGUAUAGCUGUGUAUGGAUGUUAAAAUGCGUUCUUGACAUACACUCUGCCUUCUGCAGAUUCUCUCAGUAGCAGCUGCUGGACGCGGCAGGCCUGGUGGAGUGAAAUCCUUCUCCUUUCUCCGUGAGGCAUAAUUUUAUUAGACUAUUGUAAAUCAUAGGGAUGCUUGCUGAGUAUGCUCUGCAGUUAUGAUGGUUUUGGUUAUUGCUGCACAGAACUAGGGUGGGGUUUUUUUUGUUUUAAAGUUUUAGAAGUUCAACUGUAUUCAGGUAUUUGUAUGUGAGCAACUGGUUGUCAGAAGAGAUAUUAGCAGUGAUUUCCUGGAAAUACCUAUUGAUCGCUAUCUAACAGAGACCCAGUUGAACUCAGGAGUGUCCUGCAACCACGUGAUGGAUUUGUAGUUUAUUCCAUUAAAAAUGGGGAAGCAGACACACCUUCAUCUGGGGGAAAAACUGGAAUCUGCUGCCCAAGGAAACAGUGUGGAAACAUCUGAACAGAACUACUGAAUAAGGUAACUCACAUUUUCUGUGGGGAGAAAACAUGCACAGGUACUAUCAGCCUAAUGCAGCUGUGGGCAGUUCAGGUUCCAUUCUCACCCUUUUGUAGGAGUUUUUGUGCUUUAUUACUGUGUAACCCAUGGUCUUCCUUCCAUUAUGGGACUAACUUGGUUCCCCAGAAUUUAGUCUUUCUGGGAGUCUUGUUUUAAUUUUACAAUGUAAGGUAUUUCAGGGGCAGAGACCGUGUCUUAUUUAUUGCUUUUAUGAGUCAUUUAGUUCAUUUUUGGAUGCUUGACAGAUAAUAAUGUGUUUGAUUGCAUCAUGCGGUAUACCAGGUCUGUAGGAAAACAGGCUUUUAACUCAGCAAUGAAGUCUUAAGUUUGAUUUACUGUUUACUCGUUCAACAGCAGAUGCUAGCCAGAAGUCAGAUCAUUUAAAUGCUGUGAACUGACUAAGCCAAAGGCAAUAUAAAAUCAAGUAUCAUCAGUGUACGUCUAAUAGUUCACACAAUGUAACGCUGUCUAGAUUUUCAUCAUUAAUGUUCCUGGACUAAACACGGAGCACUGGAUAGAAGAAAACCUGGACAGGUUUCAGCUGGAAAAUGUUCAUAGUAUCUAAAUGUUCGAUAGAAUAACAUGUUAAUGGUUGUGAUUUUGCAGUAGUGCCUGUACACUCCACAUUUUGCAAUUGUUGAGCCCUACUGUAAUUUUCUUCCCACCCCAUGUAAUUUGUUCUUGUGUGGGCUUUGGAAAGCUGUAGUUGUGGAAACAUCAGCAAAUUAAUUCCUAACAGAAGUAAUUGAGCUGACAGCUAAAGACAUGCUCACUUUCUGGAGCACUUAAAAAUUAUUCUUCAUUAUUAACUUUCCCAUUGAGUCUAGUGCAGAAAGUUGUGCCCUGUAGGGACGCUGUUGGCCAGAUCUGCGGACAUAAUGUUCAGUCUGAAGAGCACAGGGAGAAGCACUGUAUUCUUUUUCCUCCUCAGGGACCUGACAGUAUAGUUCAUGAAAGACACAUUCUUGGGCACAUGUUGACCCAAGUAAAUUGAAUCGAAUUGUUGCUUGUCAUACGAUCAACGAACCCAACAAUGUCCAUGGAUGCAGAGUGUCAGAAAUGCAAGGUAUGCGGUGCCUUCGGUUAAACUCUUGUGGAAGACUCAUGAGUGAACAUAUUUUGUCUUACUGUUGUAGUGGGCUUGCUGCAGCUUAAUCAAUUUGAGUAGGUGCUUUGGGAUUGAAGUCUCGAGUCACUUGGCUUGGUUCCUGUGGACUAAUGCUGCAGAGACAAAAGCAGUGUUCAAGUUAGUGGUAACCAGCACUGCUAUUAGUACCAGGGGAAGGGAGGACACAAAGAGCUUUGUUCUCUCAGGUCAGGAAUGUAAUAGAUUUACUGUCUCUUACUGUCAAUUGGCUGAACUGUGGUGAGUGGACACGAGCAUGCUCAGGGGCUGGCGCAGGUGGACACGAGAGUGUUUGGGGACGGCUUUCAGCAGGAGAUGUCCCUUAUGAAACCAAAGAGGAGAAGCAGAGCAUUAGAAGCCUCCCCUCCAAACGCAGGCCUGCAAAGCAAAUACAUGUGGAAUCCAAAUAUGGGUAGCAGAAUGUCAUUGUUUGAAGGUGAAAGCGACGAAGAAAGAGGAUGAGAGAAGUGGCAGAAGGGAGAUGUAGUCAUAAAAGCUCUGAUACGUAGGGAUGGAAAGCUCGGAAGGAGGGAGAGCUUGAGGUCGAUGCUACCUAGAAAGAGGCUGAAGUUGGUGAACAGACAACUGCUCUUUUGAUUCCUGCUGCAUGUAGGAAUAUACAAUUUUGUAUGAUCUUUACGCAUGGGGAAGGGCAUGCAGUAAAGGUACUUGGCUCUCUCAAUUAUUUCUUGUCUUGACUCGUUCAAAUGUCUGUGACCCUUAUGUUUGCCAACUUAUUUAGGUCACAAAGAAGAAAUGAGAUGGAGAUGCCUGAGGAGCUCAGAAAUUCCAAGAAAGUAUUAUGACUAAACUUGGAGGUUUCAUGAGAAGAAGUAGAACAAUGAGUAAAAUUUUCCCAGAAAGGACCAAAGAGUCCUUGUUAUAAUGCUGGGAUAGAUGGCGAAACCCAGCUGUAAUGCAGCAGUGGGAAAUGUUGGGGACAGAUCUGUGGUUCCUUCUGUCAAGAAAGAAGUUCAGUGGAACACAGGAGAUCAGGAAAGCUCUGAGAUUUCCCAGCAGAAAUUAGCUAUGUCAAAGAGUUGAGGAAAUAAAAGAACUUAAAUGGGAUGGAACGUUUAUUGAACUUUUUAGGUAAUGAGGGAAUUGCCAAAGGGGAAAGGUCAAGCUGGUCAAGUCCAAAUAAUGCAAAACUGACUUAAUGAAUUUGAUUUUCAUUUAUAUUACAUAUCAGUUGAAUGGCUGAACAGAGCCACCCGAGACAAGCAAUGAUGCAAAAUUUACUCUGUGAAAAGGCUUGUGCCCAGUAAAGCAGGCACCAGGUAUUGGUUUGGGGGUCAGUCAUCAAUUCCAACAUAGCUAAAUACUAGCAAGAGAACGGGACCAUCUGGUUAGGGCUGAUUAAGUAUCUUGCAGCUUGAGAACUUCCCAUCUUAUCACCUGCCUUUCCAAGGAAUAGGUGUCUAGGUGCUGCUGUUCAGUGGCAUUUAGACUUCCAGAGUAAGACUAGAAAGGGAGACCACGGGUGCCCCCAGGACACCAUAGAAUUUACCACUAAAUUUUAGUAAUUCCUCGGAGAAGUUAAAAAAAAAGUUGUUAAUGAGGAUGCUGGAAGCUGGCAAUUAUUUUUGCAUGACUUUGUCUUUUAAUACCUGGUGCUAAUCUAGUUCAUGACACAUGUGAAGGUUUAUAGAAAUAGUACGUUGUUUGUGAAAACAAGGGAAAGUAUCAGUGAUGCCAGAAAUGGAAGGGGACAGGUCAGUUAGAUGCUGGUCCUGUGAAGGAAAUGGGUUUCUAGAAGGAGGACUUUUACAAGUACAUAGUGAGGCAGAACAAAGUGCUACAAGAAUGCAGCCCUGUCCCAGCUUGAUGAACAGACAGCACCGAAGCUCAAAAAGCAGAGUUACCUUUUGUGAAGUGGCCAGUUAAAGACCAGUAUCAAGGGUUAAACUCUGAGUGUGUAAUGAAAUCCUUGCUCUAUGUGGUACUUGUUCAGUAAGAGUUACUAGACUGGAGUAUAUAAUACAGCUAAAGAGAAGUUCCAAAACUGAGUUGUCUAACUGGCUUCAGGUAAAGGCACAGUCUGGAGAGCUGUGCCCUUCCACAACUUGAACUGUUUUUCGAGAUGGAUUUCUGGAAUUUAAGAAGAAACCUGUGUAGGUAUGAAAAUUAAUGAAUGAACUGGUGUUUUAUUAUGACAAUAUCUUCAUAAAUAUGGCAGACAUAUUUAGGCAUUAAAAGCUUUAGUAAUGUGGCUCAGAUGAAGGAGGUGGUUUAUAGGUGAUUGGUUUUUUGGGUUGUAUUUUUGUUGAUAAAUUGUUGCAUUUCAAAGGCCACGAGGCACAAUAGCACUGUGACUGUUGCUUCUGAGAACAGAUAAAGGGAAUAUCUGAAACUCAUUUUGAAAUCUGAAAUCAUAGCUCUUGAAGUUCAAAUAUUUUUUCCAUUCUAACUGAAAUAACUCAAAUUUCUGAAUUUCAGCUCAGUUCUUGGGUCAACAAUAGGUAAUAACAUUCUGGCUAUCAGAAGGCUUGUUGCGGGGACUUCGUAUUUAGUUAUACUAGACACAAUUCUAAGCUUACAGAAGUAAUUCUUCCUUCCAGUAAGUACCACUGCUGUUAUCCAGAUUUUACACAUAUGAGUAAAAACAUUUAUGGGGUAAUCUAAGAAGAUUCAGAGAACUCUCUUACUCCUUACUGUUGUUUAUCUUGUAUGUCAAAAUUUCCUGAAGAGUACUGGAAACUUUAUCAUCUAUCUGUGUACACACUCAGCCUGCUCUUCACUUUUCCUUUCUGACUACAUACAUGGUUCUUGCUGUUAUAACAGCACUAGUCAUAUAGACCAUAGGUCAUCACGAGCCGCCAGCAUAAUGUUCUCCAUAUGUUGAGAUGUUUGUGAAGAAACAAUUCGAAUUAAGGCACUCUGUCAGGCCAGAGUUUUCUGUUAGAUGUUAAAUUGCAAUCACACAAAAGUUGUAUUAAUGGCCAGGCCACUUCUUUAAAUGUUGAAUAAGUAGUUUCUAAGAAGCAAACCCAGAAAGAGCAGGCAAAGUUGUGUUUUCACUGAAGCCUGUGAUAGGGUUUACAACAUGUUAAGCAGGGUUGGCAUUCGCUCCUUGCUUAAUGGUAGUAUCUUGAUUUGUAGCUCCUUCCAGGACUCAGUCUCAUAUAGUUUCUGACCACAUCUGUUCAGCGCCAGAGGACUCGCUGGCAAAGGAGCAGAAAUUCUUUCAACAGCUCUUUGAAUAAGGAUCAGCUACUUUUAAUUUACCAUGGGGUGAAAACAUUUACACGGCGUUACCACAGCACAGGUGAUGUACCCUAAAGGUUCAUAACCUAGUUUACCCUGUGCUAACUUGUUCACAGAUCUGUGUUUUAAUUUUAUAGUUUCUGCUUUAUUGUGUGGAUCGCCUGUAAUGAGCAUGAACAAUAUGUUUAUGUCGUGUAAGGGAAACAAAUCCUAUUUUAAGAAAAUUUUCAUUAGAUUAAAUAUCAUUAUGGUGAAACACACAAUUCUGUAACUUCCUCUGAAUGCUUAGCAAACAGCACUUCUAAUUAAAUGGGUUUUGCUUGCUCUGUAUUCCUCUUUGUAUUACACAAAUAGUUGGAGCAGAAAAUGGUUAUUAAAGCCAGGAGUGUGCCUAAUAACUGGUGUGGUAGAAAAGCAAAUUGGUAGCUCAGUACCUUUUUAAAACAGCUGUAAAGUUUUUACUUGGUAGCAGAAGUCAAUUGAUUUUUUCCUUUCUUCCCCACUUUGCUUUUGGUCUGUAUUCCGAGGAUAUUUUUCUUUCUUCCCUGCCACAGCUGCCGGCGGAAGAGCCAGGUUGGGCAGCUCCCACCUGUGUAAGCAUGUGAGGUAGGAUGGUGCGGAUUAGCCCAAAGCUGCUCAGCUAACGCUGUUGUGCACUGAGGCGAGCGAGGAGGGAGCUGCUGCCAGGAAGGGUUUCCUGCCAU